rnacentral:pre_miRNA from 1 species
CAUCUACUCCCUCCGUUCGGAAUUACUUGUCUCGGAAAUGGAUGUAUCUAGAUGUAUUCUAGAUACAUCCAUUUCCGAGACAAGUAAUUCCAAACGGAGGGAGUAGUAU